UCCUACGGGAGGCAGCAGUGAGGAAUAUUGGUCAAUGGACGAAAGUCUGAACCAGCCAAGUAGCGUGCAGGAUGACGGCCCUCUGGGUUGUAAACUGCUUUUAGUUGGGAAUAAAAAGAGGGACGUGUCCCUUAUUGUAUGUACCAUCAGAAAAAGGACCGGCUAAUUCCGUGCCAGCAGCCGCGGUAAUACGGAAGGUCCAGGCGUUAUCCGGAUUUAUUGGGUUUAAAGGGAGCGCAGGCGGCGGCGUAAGUCAGUUGUGAAAUCGUGCGGCUUAACCGUGCAAUUGCAGUUGAUACUGCGUCGCUUGAGUGCACACAGGGAUGUUGGAAUUCAUGGUGUAGCGGUGAAAUGCUUAGAUAUCAUGAAGAACUCCGAUCGCGAAGGCAUAUGUCCGGAGUGCAACUGACGCUGAGGCUCGAAAGUGUGGGUAUCAAACAGGAUUAGAUACCCUGGUAGUCC
rnacentral:rRNA from 1 species